UACGUAGGUGGCAAGCGUUGUCCGGAUUUAUUGGGUUUAAAGGGUGCGUAGGCGGCUUAUUAAGUCAGUGGUGAAAUACUCUAGCUCAACUAGAGGGGUGCCAUUGAUACUGAUGAGCUUGAGUACAGAUGAGGUAGGCGGAAUUGACGGUGUAGCGGUGAAAUGCUUAGAUAUCGUCAAGAACACCUAUAGCGAAAGGCAGCUUACUAGGCUGUAACUGACGCUGAGGCACGAAAAGUGUGGGGAUCAAAACAGG
rnacentral:rRNA from 1 species